ensembl:lncRNA
GGGAACCACUGGGAGGGUGGUUGACAUUAGGGAACCACUGGGAGGGUGGUUGACGUUAGGGAACCACUGGGAGGGUGGUUGACAUUAGGGAACCACUGGGAGGGUGGUUGACAUUAGGGAACCACUGGGAGGGUGGUUGAUAUUAGGGAACCACGGGGAGGGUGGUUGAUAUUAGGGAACCACUGGGAGGGUGGUUGACAUUAGGGAACCACUGGGAGGGUGGUUGACAUUAGGGAACCACUGGGAGGGUGGUUGAUAUUAGGGAACCACGGGGAGGGUGGUUGAUAUUAGGGAACCACUGGGAGGGUGGUUGACAUUAGGGAACCACGGGGAGGGUGGUUGAUAUUAGGGAACCACUGGGAGGGUGGUUGAUAUUAGGGUACCACAGGGAGGGUGGUUGACAUUAGGGAACCAAUGGGAGGGUGGUUGACAUUAGGGAACCACUGG